AACGAGCGCUGGCGGCAGGCUUAACACAUGCAAGUCGAGCGCCCCGCAAGGGGAGCGGCAGACGGGUGAGUGACGCGUGGAAUCUACCCAUCUCUACGGAAUAACGCAUGGAAACGUGUGCUAAUACCGUAUACGUCCUUCGGGAGAAAGAUUUAUCGGAGAUGGAUGAGCCCGCGUUGGAUUAGCUAGUUGGUGGGGUAAAGGCCUACCAAGGCGACGAUCCAUAGCUGGUCUGAGAGGAUGAUCAGCCACACUGGGACUGAGACACGGCCCAGACUCCUACGGGAGGCAGCAGUGGGGAAUAUUGGACAAUGGGCGCAAGCCUGAUCCAGCCAUGCCGCGUGAGUGAUGAAGGCCCUAGGGUUGUAAAGCUCUUUCACCGGUGAAGAUAAUGACGGUAACCGGAGAAGAAGCCCCGGCUAACUUCGUGCCAGCCGCCGCAGUAAUAC
rnacentral:rRNA from 1 species